rnacentral:rRNA from 1 species
GACGAACGCUGGCGGCGUGCUUAACACAUGCAAGUCGAACGAGGUUCAGCCGAUCCUUCGGGGGAAGCGAAAAUCUAGUGGCGAACGGGUGCGUAACACGUGAGAAACCUGCCCCGGACUUGGGAAUAACAGUCGGAAACGGCUGCUAAUACCGAAUAUCUCCGUAGCGUCGCAUGGCGCAUCGAAGAAAGCUUUUGCGGUCUGGGAGGGUCUCGCGGCCUAUCAGCUAGUUGGUGAGGUAACGGCUCACCAAGGCAUCGACGGGUAGCUGGUCUGAGAGGAUGAUCAGCCACACUGGGACUGAGACACGGCCCAGACUCCUACGGGAGGCAGCAGUGGGGAAUAUUGCACAAUGGGCGAAAGCCUGAUGCAGCAACGCCGCGUGCGGGAAGAAGGCCUUAGGGUUGUAAACCGCUUUCAGCAGGGAAGAAACUGACGGUACCUGCAGAAGAAGGUGCGGCCAACUACGUGCCAGCAGCCGCGGUGACACGUAGGCACCAAGCGUUGUCCGGAUUUAUUGGGCGUAGAGAGCUCGUAGGCGGUUCAGUAAGUCGGGUGUGAAAACUCUGGGCUCAACCCAGAGACGCCACCCGAUACUGCUGUGACUUGAGUACGGUAGGGGAGUGGGGAAUUCCUGGUGUAGCGGUGAAAUGCGCAGAUAUCAGGAGGAACACCAGUGGCGAAGGCGCCACUCUGGGCCGUAACUGACGCUGAGGAGCGAAAGCGUGGGUAGCAAACAGGAUUAGAUACCCUGGUAGUCCACGCCGUAAACGUUGGGCACUAGGUGUGGGUCUCAACCAACGAGAUCCGCGCCGUCGCUAACGCAU